rnacentral:rRNA from 1 species
CAAUAGCGUAUAUUUAAGUUGUUGCAGUUAAAAAGCUCGUAGUUGGAUUUCGGUUAAGAGCGACUGGUCCGCCGUUUGGUGUGCACUGGUUGGUUUUAACUUCCUGUAGAGGACGUGCUCUGGGUUUAACGACCUGGACUCGGAGUCUACGUGGUUACUUUGAAAAAAUUAGAGUGUUCAAAGCGGGCUUACGCUUGAAUAUUUCAGCAUGGAAUAACACUAUAGGACUCCUGUCCUAUUUCGUUGGUCUCGGGACGGGAGUAAUGAUUAAGAGGAACAGUUGGGGGCAUUCGUAUUUCAUUGUCAGAGGUGAAAUUCUUGGAUUUAUGAAAGACGAACUUCUGCGAAAGCAUUCGCCAAGGAUGUUUUCAUUAA